GGCUAUGAUCUUUGUCUGGAGCAGGAGGGUUUCACUUUCUGCGACAGGCUCCUGGUUUUAGGACAGCCCUCCUUAAAGUGACCUCCCAGGGCCUCGUAGUCAUAGCCCCUCCCUGUUCCUGCUCUGGCGCUGGAGUGGGAGGCUCUGGGAUGCUUUAUCUUCCUCAGGCUCUGACUCUCUUUCUGGUUUUCUCUGGGGCCCUCCCCCUGGUAGAGGGACUUCUGAUAAAGACAGGCCACUCUGCUUCUGGACCCAAGGCGAUUGCAAAGAGAAAGAGAAAGUCAUUGCAGCCACAGUCCAGAAGGUGGGACACCACGCUGAGCCAGCAGAGCACAAGCCCCUCCCCUGGUGGUCUGGGCCAACUGGAGCCGCCUCUCCAUCAUGAAGACAGACAAGCUGAUGCCUCGGCAGGGACUCCCGGAUCCUGCCCUCAGGGAUCAUCCCAGAGAUGCUCCCCACCCAGCAACCACAGGGACAGGGAGGGAGAGUGAAGGGCCCGGUGUCUCCCUCCCCCAGGCCUUCACACUCAGAGGCCACCAUGGGAGGGAGGAACAGCAGGCCUCUGAGCCCAACCUGCAUGUAUAUACGUCCACAUGGCCUGAGGCAACUGAAGAACUGCAAAAGAAAUGAAAAUGGCCGGUUCCUGCCUGAACUGAUUACCUUGUGAAAUUCCUUCUCCUGGACAAUGAGUCUCAGAAGCUACCCAACCAAGCACCUUGUAACCCCCGCCCCUGCCGGCAAGAGAAAAACCUCUUUUGACUGUAAUUUUCCACCACCCACCCAAAUCCUAUAAAACCGCCCCACCCCUAUCUCCCUUUGCUGACUUUUUUUCGGACUCAGCCCACUUGCACCCAAGUGAAAUAAACAGCCUUGUUGCUCACACAAGACCCGUUGGUGGACUCUCUUCACACACGUGCAUGACAUUUGGUGCCAAAGACCCGGUACAGGGAGACUCCUUUGGGAGACCAGUCCUCUGUCCUUGCCCUCACUCCAUGAGGAGAUCCACCUAUGACCUCAGGUCCUCAGACCAACCUUAGACCAGCUCAAGGACCAUCUCACCAAUUUCAAAUCAGGAACCCUGGAAAUCAGACGUUCCAACUCACCUGACAGUCACUCCCAGGGCCCCUGGAACUCUGGCCAAGGCUCUCUGACUGACUUCUUCCCAGAUCUUCUCAGCUUAGCGGCUAAAGACUGAUGCUGCUGAUAGACUCAAAAGCCUCCUGGACCAUCACAGACGCUUUGGGUAACUCUUACAAUGGAGGAUGCACAUGACAUUUGGUACCGAAACCCGGGACAGGAGGACUCCUUCAGGACACCAAUCCUCAGUCCUCGCCCUCACUCUGUGAGGAGAUCCACCUACAACCUCGGGUCUUCAGACCAACCAGCCCAAGGAACAUCUCACCAAUUUCAAAUCGGGACCCCACUGGAAAUCGGACUGUCCAACUCACCCAGCAGACAGUCCCAGCGCCCCUGGAACUCUGGCCCAAGGUUCUCUGACUGACUCCUUCCCAGAUCUUCUCGGCUUAGCAGCUGAAGACUGACACUGUCUGAUUGCCUUGGAAGCCUUCUGGACCAUCAUGGAUGCUUUGGGUAACUCUUACAGUGGAGGGUUACAUGUGUCAUUCUAAAAGGUGAAUGGUGCUUACAGAGGAGGAGUCUGUGUCUGUGGUCAUGUGCAUCCUCUGCUCACACUGGAGGCAUCUUUGGAAGAAAUGGCUUAUUUUCUGCAGUGACCCGACAUCCCAGGCCACUCUGUCUGGAGCAUCCCUUGAGCUUCUGGCAACAACCUUCACCCCCACGUGACUGUGCAGCUCGCAGGCCCUGGAAAGUCGCUGGUGCCUUGACAGUGGACUUUGCAGCGUCCAGAACUCGAGCCAACACAUUUCUAUUCAUUGUGAAUGCCCCCGUCUCAGUCCUGCUGUUGAAGCAUCACAAAGUGCACCAAGACACGUGCUUCCCUUCGUUUGGAAGUUUUCCCAGCCCUGUUCAUGGCCUCGUGCGCGAAUUCUGGCAUCCAUUCUCCCAGGCAUCCAUUCACCAGGCAUCCUCAGCCCCUGCUGUGGCCUGGCCCUCUGGGGCCCGCCCUGUUCCCUCCCUGCCAUCUGCUGGGGAGGCCACUGGACCUGCGCUAUCCCAUGUUGGAGGGGCACUGGCCAAGGGGGCUGCUGAGCACCUGAAACGGGGCUCUGAUGAGAGACCUCGGCUCAUGAAAAAUACACCGUACACUGCUCAUUUCAGUGUGAGAAGAAAAAGAAACUUCACUAUCUCACAAAUAAUUUUAUGUUAAUCAAUGUUGAAGUAAUAUGUUAGCUACAUUGGAUUAAAUAAAAUUUUAAAAUUACUUUCACCAGUUUUUGUCGCCUUUUUAGCAUGUGGGGACUGGAAACACUUGUGCUUCACUCCUGAGUCCUGGGUGUUUCCGUGGCCAGCACCGCUGUAGGCCAGGCCUGCCCAGCACACAGACGGCUCCCUCCCCAAACACAUUCUGAAAAGUCUCCUGCCUGGGCGGAGGGGGCCGUAGGAAUGGGUGGGACAAAGCGGGGAACUUAGUGUCCCGAGUGGGGGUGGCAGGGUGAGGAGUGAGGGUUCACCAUCUUGUGAUGACGCAUCUUUGCCAUGGAGGAAUCAGGGCAGAGGUCGGGGCGGUCAAGCAGGAAGGUCUGGGUCACGGACUUAAGAAAUGUGGGAAGUGGAGGCUGGGCACAGUGGCUCACACCUGUGUUCCCAG